UAUUCCACGCCCUAAACGAUGAGUGCUUGCUAUUAGGAGAAGUCAAUCUCUCUUAGUGGCAAAAGCUAACGCUAUAAGCACUCCGCCUCUAGAGUACGGCCGCAAGGCUAAAACAGAAAGGAAUUGACGGGAACCCGCACAAGCGGUGGAUCAUGCGGCUUAAUUCGAAUCUAAGCGGGGAACCUCACCUAGAUUUGACAUGUAACUGCAAAUCCUAUGAAAAUAGGACUUCUUCGAGAGUGUUACACAGAUGAUGCACGGUCGUCGUCAGCUCGUGUCGUGAGAUGUUCGGUUAAGUCCGAAAACGAGCGCAACCCCAAUCCUUAGUUAUUUAAUGUCUAAGGAGACUGCCCGGGAUUAACCGGGAGGAAGGCUGGGAUGACGUCAGAUCAGCGUGUCUCUUACAUCUAGGGGCUGCACGCAUGAUACAAUGGGGUAUGGGUACAAC
rnacentral:rRNA from 1 species